rfam:Acidobacteria bacterium 13_1_40CM_3_56_11 13_1_40cm_3_scaffold_9620, whole genome shotgun sequence.
CUUCGGGAAUCUGGUUGGGUGAAAUGAAAUGGAUGUGCGUAUCGAUGCCGCCCGCGGUAAGGAUGCGUCCUUCUCCCGCGAGUAUCUCUGUCGAGGCGCCAAUUUCCAUGCCGCGCGUCACGCCGUCCAUGAUGCCGGGAUUACCGGCCUUGCCGAUCGCAGCAAUCCGCCCAUCGCGGACCGCAACAUCAGCCUUGUAGAUUCCCGUAUAGUCGAGGAUCAACGCGUUGGUGAUCACCAGAUCGGGAGCGCCCCCGGCGCGCGUCGCUUCGGGAGACUGGCCCAUGCCAUCGCGGAU